rnacentral:tRNA from 1 species
UACCCCGUGGUGUAACGGUAGCACAAGGGUCUUUGAAGCCCUUUGUCAUGGUUCGAAUCCAUGCGGGGUAG